GAUGAACGCUGGCGGCGUGCCUAAUACAUGCAAGUCGAGCGAACCACUUCGGUGGUGAGCGGCGAACGGGUGAGUAACACGUAGGUGGUCUGCCCAUCAGACGGGGACAACGAUUGGAAACGAUCGCUAAUACCGGAUAGGACGAAAGUUUAAAGGUGCUCCUGGCACCGUUGAUGGAUGAGCCUGCGGCGCAUUAGCUAGUUGGUAGGGUAAAGGCCUACCAAGGCGACGAUGCGUAGCCGACCUGAGAGGGUGAACGGCCACACUGGGACUGAGACACGGCCCAG
rnacentral:rRNA from 1 species